rnacentral:rRNA from 1 species
CAGCUAGCUCAAUUACUCAAUAACUAAACAGUAUAAAUAAAAUAAAAUAAGCCUAAUGUCAAAAAUUAAAUCAUUCUUUCACCUUAGUAUGGGCGACAGAAAAGGUUACCCCGGAGCAAUAGAAAAAGUACCGUAAGGGAAAGCUGAAAGAGAAGUGAAACAACUCAUAUAAGCACCAAAAAGCAAAGAUUAAAUCUUGUACCUUUUGCAUCAUGAUUUAGCCAGCAUAUCCAAGCAAAGAGCCCUUUAGUUUGAAACCCCGAAACCAAGUGAGCUACCCCGAGACAGCCUAUUAAGGGCCAACCCGUCUCUGUGGCAAAAGAGUGGGAAGAACUCCGGGUAGAGGUGACAAACCUACCGAACUUGGUGAUAGCUGGUUGCCUAAGAAGUGGAUAGAAGUUCAGCCUCAUAUUCCCUAAAUCAAAUAUAUAAAAGAUAUUAAGAGGAAAUAUAUGAGAGUUAGUUAAAGGGGGUACAGCCCCUUUAACGAAGGAUACAACCUUUCCAGGAGGAUAAAGAUCAUAACACAUAAAACAUCCUGUUAUAGUGGGCCUAAAAGCAGCCAUCUAAACAGAAAGCGUUAAAGCUCAGACAGAAAUAAGUUUAUUAUUCCGACAAGAAAUCUUACUCCCCUAAAUAUUAUUAGGCCAGCCCAUGCCAACAUGGAAAAGACUAUGCUAAAAUGAGUAACAAGAAGGCCAGCCCUUCUCCAAGCACAAGUGUAAGCCAAAUCGGACCUACCAUUGGCAAUUAACGAACUCAACCCGAGAGAGUAAUGUGUAUUGCAACGAAACCAGGAAGAACCCACAAUCAAUCCAUCGUUACCCCCACACUGGUGUGCUAUUAAAGGAAAGACUAAAAGAAAGGAAAGGAACUCGGCAAACACAAGCCUCGCCUGUUUACCAAAAACAUCGCCUCCUGCGACACAACCAAGUAUAGGAGGUCCAACCUGCCCAGUGACUACAAGUUCAACGGCCGCGGUAUUUUAACCGUGCAAAGGUAGCGCAAUCACUUGUCUCCUAAAUAGAGACCUGUAUGAAUGGUUAAACGAGGGCUUAACUGUCUCCCCCUUCCAGUCAGUGAAAUUGAUCU